rnacentral:rRNA from 1 species
UACGAAGGGUGCAAGCGUUACUCGGAAUUACUGGGCGUAAAGGGCUCGUAGGUGGCCAACUAAGUCAGACGUGAAAUCCCCAGGCUCAACUUGGGAACUGCGUCUGAUACUGGAUGGCUUGGAUUCGGGAGAGGAAUGCGGAAUUCCAGGUGUAGCGGUGAAAUGCGUAGAUAUCUGGAGGAACACCGGUGGCGAAGGCGGCGCUCUGGACCGAUACUGACGCUGAGAAGCGAAAGCCAGGGGAGCAAACGGGG